rnacentral:tRNA from 1 species
AAGGGAGACCUAAUUCGGGUAGGAGACGAAAAAAAAGUAGUCCCUACCAAGAAUCAAUCCCAAAAGGUCGGAACGAGGUAUGAGGCUUUCAAACUAGGUUCUGGGUUCAUAAAAGACCUGAAUCAGGAACAAGGGCUAUUAGCUCAGGUGGUUAGAGCGCACCCCUGAUAAGGGUGAGGUCCCUGGUUCGAGUCCAGGAUGGCCCACCUGCACAGGUGGCAAAAACAAGAGAAGCGAGGAAUCAGCACCUUAUCUUAUAUACAUAUAUAAGAGAGAAUGCUGGCUCUGAGUACAGAGUCCAGAGGAACCUUGAAAACUGCAUAGAGCUAGGUGAAAAAGCCAAAAAAGAAGACCGCAA